rnacentral:rRNA from 1 species
GACCUCGGAUCAGGUAGGACUACCCGCUGAACUUAAGCAUAUCAAUAU